rnacentral:lncRNA from 1 species
CCUUCGUAAAUUUUACGGACGCCAUCACGAGUUGGUUGACCGUUAUGGAAUAACCGUAUGACAAAUGAUAUCGGAUAUGUUCCUUACGUCGUAACUACAAUCCCCUUCCCUUUCCUGAAUGUGACCUACCGAAUUAGACUAUUUACCGGAUUUGUUAUCGCAUAAGCAACACGACGGGUGCCGCAUGUGGAGCAGGAUCUGCUUACCCUUCCGGAGCACCUGAGAUCACC